rnacentral:rRNA from 1 species
UACGUAGGGGGCAAGCGUUGUCCGGAUUUACUGGGUGUAAAGGGCGCGUAGGCGGGUUGGUAAGUCAGUGGUGAAAUCUCACAGCUUAACUGUGAAACUGCCUCUGAUACUGCCAAUCUUGAGUUCAGAAGAGAGAGAUGGAAUUCCAGGUGUAGUGGUGAAAUACGUAGAUAUCUGGAAGAACACCAGUGGCGAAGGCGAUCUCUUGGUCUGUAACUGACGCUGAGGCGCGAAAGCGUGGGUAGCGAACAGG